UACGGAGGGGGCGAGCGUUAUUCGGAAUUAUUGGGCGUAAAGGGCGCGUAGGCGGCUUGAUAAGUCAAAGGUGAAAUCCCUCGGCUCAACUGAGGAAUUGCCUUUGAAACUGUCUGGCUCGAGGCCGGGAGGGGGUAGCGGAAUUCCCAGUGUAGCGGUGGAAUGCGUAGAGAUGCGGAGGAACACCGAUGGCGAAGGCAGCCCCCUGGGCUGACACUGACGCUCAGGCACGAAAGCGUGGGGAGCAAACAGG
rnacentral:rRNA from 1 species